AGGAGUUUGAGCAUAUCAACGGGAAAACAUCGACGAUGACCAGUGAAACAGAAACCGGCGACAGUGGCAGAGUGAGUUUCACUGAACUGCAACGAACCCUAAACAGAGACGGUUUUGUUUUGACUGACCCUCGCAUUUACUUGUUGAUCAAUGGAAGUUUGCUUUCUUGUCAUUGGAUCAUCCAAACUACCUUCAGGACUCUGAUGUCGUGUUCAACCAUUUCCAGAGAAGAGAUGUUUAUGGUGCUUGGGAACAAUACCUCGGUUUGGAGCAUUCUGACAAUGCCCCCAAGAGGGCUUAUUCUGUAAAUUAGUGAAUAGUGGAGAAUCUUAAUGUUGCUGGAUUUAAGCACUUUAUGUGUUGAAGCAUUAGAAUCUUAAUGUUGCUGGAUCUAAGCACUUCAACUCAGCUUAUUGAUGAGGACGGUACAUACAAUGUUGCUGGGUUUACUUGUUUAUUAGAAUCUUAAGUUGCUGAGUUUAAUAGCUUAUUAGAAUCUUAGUGUUGUUGGAUUUAAGCACUUCAACUCAGCUUAUUGAUGAG